GUUCGUUUGUUUGUUAUUGCAUGUUCUUGCCAUUCUUAUCUCUCGUAAAUAAUUUAUACUUAUUAUACGGUUGAGAAACAAAUGAUAAAAAUAUGUACUUAAGAAUAUGUAAAUCUUUUUAAUAAAUCUUAAGAAAGAUUUUAAAAGUCAAAGAAAUCAAUAUUAGCUGUGCGUUAAAAUUUUCUCUUGCCUGUUAACAAGGAUGCAAGAGGAAUUCAUUGGAGUUAAACACGACUCCGCCAAGCACAUGUAACUAUCUUGAAUCUUUCCUUCCUGAACGUCGUACAUCCUUCGCAAAGAAGCCAACUUGUUUGGCUCGCGCAGUCAGCCUCCUUACAUGGGUAUGCCUCGCUAACGAUUAGAUUGAAUUAGGUUAGAAGUGAGAUCCAUUACCGCUACAUCGCCUUAUACUUGUCUUAGGGAUCUAGACUCUUGACGUAAAGGAAAGAAAAACUAUUCUCAGCAUUCCUAACGCGGACGAUUCACUUAUCCGUUCGGGGGUUUAUAUGUCACGUCAUAAAUACAAUCAAAGGCUUUAUUCUGCCUGACAUUUCUUCGUGCCAAGGAAAAGUUCUUUAAAACGAAAGCAAAACACAUAUACAUAUACAAACAUACUCACUCUAUGUCUAUACUUUCCGUUGACACCAAUUCUAAAUUAUGUCGACAAUUUACGAACCAAGAAUCUAUUUAACAUUACUAUUUUAGAUCGUUGCUACAUAUAGGAAGGUAUAAUACGAAUUUCGAUUUUUCAUAUGUGAUAUAUUUAUCAUGAUUGUUAUCUCACAAUUUUUUUUUUAAAUUCCGCUAGAAUUGGACGUCGUUACAUUUUAAAAAAUGAUAUCACGUUAAACGUUUCUUUUUUAUCGUACUACGUUUCUUUCAAUAGCUUUGAUAAAAAUAAGAAAACGAUAGUGUGACAUAUUACAUUUAACGCACUCUUGUAACGUUAAAUUUUUGUUAUAAUCGAUAGAUAUAUGGAUAACACAUACAACGAUAAUUUACUUAGAAUUCUCUUGAAUACAAGAGAAGAUAUUCUCCUUUGAAGUUCGCAUACAUUGAAAAAGAAUUCGUCAAAAUGUUCUAUUUCGCUUACGAAAGCAAGAAAUAUUUUCCGGCAUAGUGAAUUCGUUCGAGCAAUAUCUAUUUUCAAAGGACAACGACGAUAGAUGCAACAUCGAACGAUCUAUCUCUACUGGGGAGUGCGGUGAUUUACAUACAACAAGGUACCGCAAUGAUUGCUCUCGGAAUAUAUUAACCUGCGUGCUCUAGAUAAAGGUAGAUCGUUGUGCUCGGCCGGACUUAAACGUUCACUAUAUCAUUGCCCAACACGUGGACAAAGUCGUAAUGUAAGAGAGUGACGUUGAGGAAACGAAAGAGAAUGUGUUUUAAUUAUUAUUGACCUAAGAAGAAACUACGAUCGUUUAUCUUUAUCUAUUAAAUGUUGUUGAUUAUCUGAAGUCAAAAAAAAGUUUUCUUUUUUUUUUUAUUUAUUCAUUUUUUUUCAUUUUUGUCUGAUUCAAUCUACAGAGAUUAUCUCGUUUUCUCUUUAUCUUUAUCUAUUUCUCUAGUCAGUUAUACACUCUCUUCUCUCUUCAAAAUGUUCUCUGUACUCUUCCAUCGUAUCUCUUAUCAGUACCAGCUUCAGGCGAACAUUUUCCAUUCUAAAGUCUAUUAUAUUAAUUCUUAUUACCUCUUUGUUCGUUGCUUAUCGUAGACGAAUGAAAAUGAACUAAAAAGGCCACAAUUUUGGUAAAUCGACGAUGUGAAUAGUAUUAAAAACGAUUGCAAUCUUCAAUGCGAUAGAACCAUCUCAACGAUGUCGGAGUCGAAAGUUUUUCGAGAGAUUACGAGAGUUGAAGAGAAAAAAGAAAAAUUUUGACGAGUCCCUGGAGAAUACGAGACUGAACGUAUAUAUCUAAGAUAAAGAGGACAUUCGAAAGUCAUGCUUGCGUGAAUAAUGAAGACUGACAGGACGAAUAUUAUACGCAAAUUGCUAUUCCGAACCGAUACGUCUCGCCGUCUGUACGGAAGAAACGCGACGAGGUCGACCAGGGAAAAUAGGAGUAUGCAUUUUUAUGUGAGAUUAAACGGCUACGUUCUCAAAAAGAUUUGACGUAACCAAGAAAUAUGAGGUAAAUCAGAUGAAUUAUUAACGAACAUUUUUAUACUCGAACAAAGUUACAUAGAACGAAUAAAAAUCGUUGAAAUUUGUUUGAAUUGUUGUUGUGUCAACCGUCGGAAUAAUUAUGAUUCAAAAUAGAAUCUUUCCAGAAUAGAAAAAAGAAAAGAAAUAAUAAUUUCUUGAGAGUAUGAUAACGAAGAUAAAUGAAGGAUGAAUCAGCGGAGAAAGAGGAACGUAAUCCGGGAGUAAGUUCGUUCGAGGUUUUAACUGUCACGCGUGCUUCCCCUUGAUAGUCGAUUAACCAGGAUGCUCGCGAAUCACGAUUUAUACGGGAAACGCUCCACGAAAUUAUGGCCUCUCGGAUUUCCGUAAUGCCAAGAUUUGCUGCUCUUGAAGCCACCUAAUCCAAGCGCAUGCCGGAAGAUCCUCUUAUCUUAGGGCCACGUUCUUCGAGGAAGGAGAAAAGGGGAGGAAGGUUGGCCUGGAAAGGCAAGAAAGUAAGACGAUUACUUUAGGCGUAGUGCAACGUAAAAACUCUUAAGCAAGGGGGAACAUUACGCGAACGAGUAUACCUUUAAUUAUACUUUAUAUUACGAAGAAUCUUACAACGUCUCGCAAGCCGGAAGGCAAUUACGCAGAAGCCUCCUCUCCUCGUUCGAAUAACUCCUCUUCGAAUCCUUCGAAGGGAUAUCCAUAAUCGUGAAUUCCCAGCCGCGUCCGUUCUCUUUUCUUUUUAUUUUUUAUUCUUUUUUCUUUCAAGCCAGACGUCGAAGAAAUCAGGCCGGUCCGUAAUUUCAGAAAUAGCUAUCGGAACUGCUAAGUUCUCGUGGCGUUCUCCCAAGAAAACAAAAGUUCGGAGACGCCCUGUGAGAGAACUCUGGCAAUUUCUGGCUCGUCCUGUCCAAGGUGAACGAGUAGCCACCUGCUAGAUUACGAUCCUGACAGUAUAACCUUCGGAAUCGUAUUAUCUAUCGGUAGACGAUCCCAAUCCGAAUGACUUAUCGCGAAAGGGAUAUUUCUCGAUCUCACCUAGAUCUCAUCGACAUCGAUAAUCCAUCGAUGAGUUCUCCGAAGAAAAAUCUAUGAACAAUAUAAUCCCUUCGAUUAAUGCAAAUUCCGUCGUCAUAAUUUAACGUCAAAUGUUUUAAUAUAAAAUAUCCUAUCGUCGAACGAUCGGUAGUGUCGAUUUCGAAAGACCAUUCUUCGGAUUCUACGAAUCGGUGUCUCGUAAAUAAGAAACCACACAUUCCACGAAUUCAUUUUUAAAAGAUGGAUCUUAAUUCUCUUUAAUCCUGUUACCAGAAAGUACCUAAUAUGAAAUGUCCAGACGCUUCGCCGAUGCACGCGAUCACGAUUUCGUCCUUGAUCGAUCGAUUGAUCGACUUAGACAUAAGUAGACGUUUUCUUCUUUUCCGACCACAGAAUAUCGAAUAACUAGAUCCUCUUAAAACGAGUGCUUGUGCUCAAGAUGCGAAUACUAAAGAAAAGGAUGAGUUCAAAUGUCUUAUUUUGUCUCUUUCUCUCUCUCUCUCUCUCCCUCUUUCUAUCAUCCCUUCUUUUUGUAAAAAUAUUAGGAAGUAUAAUAAUCGAACUGUCAGAAAGAUAAAGAUACCUGGAAAAUAUUAAAUGAUCUAAGAAGGGUAGUUUUUACCUUCUACUAAAUUUCAAAAAGGCUAUUGAAGUCGUCCUAUCUUCAGAAGCAGAAAAGUAAUAUCGAUUUUGAGCUACAUAUUUCCAGUUUGAUUUCAGAUUCCGCUGUAUCUCGUUUAAAUCUUUUCCUUUUAAGAUAAGAUAAUCGGAUUAAGUGUCCCCCAUCGAUGUAAUAAAAUUUACCCUAUUGUAGCAACCGAAUGAAUUUUCACGGGACUUAAAACUAUUACUGUCAAAGUCGCAACGGGUCAAUCAUUGUUUUGUCUAAGACAAUUUAAGAUGAUUUUACGUCGUUCUCUUUAAAAUCAAUAAAUAGCCUUAAGUGGAACAAAAGAGAGAUAGAAAAAGAAAGUCAGAGAGAGAGAGAGAAAGAGAGAGAGAGAGAAAGAGAGAGAGAGAGAGAAAAAAGAAAAUCGGUAAGUACUUUUUCCGGAAUUUCCUUUCUUGAUAGGUUCGUCGAGCGAAUAGCGGCUCUUUUAGGAAAGAUGUAGAGGGAGAGUCCUUAACACCAAGCUACUUGAUUUACUGCUUCCUCUCGUAUGGAUCUCGUCGUUGCUGCCGCAGCUGCGGCAGCAGCAGCAGAAGCAGCAUAGAGGCAUCUGCGGUAGAAGUCAGAGAGAGAGAGAGAGAGAGAGAGAGAGAGAGAGAGAGAGAGAGAAACAGAAGCAGGAACGAAGACAGGAGAGGACCAUUUCAACGUAGAAUUGUGCUGAGUUCGUGCGGGCAAGGCAACGUACGAGUGAUUUGCAUGCGAGCGAGCUGUGAGAAAGAGACAAGGAUAUCACGAGAGAUAUGAGAGAGAGAGAGAGAGAGGUGAGAGAGAGAGAGAGAGAGAGAGAGAGAGAGAGAGAGAGAGAGAGAGAUAUAACAGGGCGGUUAAGCCACUCGACGCCGUGCUGUGUCCGACCGGCUCGGUGGACGAUAAUUAACAGGUUCCGUAAACGCUGUACGAAAUCGACGAAUCUGAGUUCCUUUCUGCUUCCAACACAAACUCCCUUCUACGUUAGUAUCCGAAUAGAGGCCGCGCGAACGAAGAGUGUUUACGAUUCGUUAUUGCCAUGUUCCCAACAAUAAAUUUCAAACCUCCGAGCCACCGCCGUCGGCUUUAGCGCCGACUACGAAUCACGGAUUAUACUCUGGAUAUGUUAUAUAUCACCUCUUUCUGUCCUCUACGACAGAAAAAGACAGAGAGAAAGAGAGAGAGAGAAUGAGAGAGAGAGAGAGAGAGAGAGAGAGAGAGAGAAUGAGAGUGAGAAAGAGAGAGAGAGAGAGAACUAUUGCCAGACAAUUGUUAUGUGAUCAUCCUGUGGUAACGUUUAUAUAUAUACUCGUUGUACACCAGACGUGUGACUAUCCUUGAUAAACGACGGAAAACAUUUCGUGUGACUUUCGUUAAUUCGUCUUUCCUUUAUAAUUACUUAAUUUCUAGGAAUAUCUAAGUGAUUCUUAAUACAAAUUCAUCGGUGCUAAGCUGCAAAAUGUUUCGUAAUGUUUCAUUGAAUUUUUUAAUAAAGAUAUGUGUAAAAUUUGUUGGAAUCUAAUUUAUUUCCU